rnacentral:lncRNA from 1 species
AAAUUGCAUUUAAAAAGUGGUCUUUUCCUCCUAGUACCUUCCCCUCUCUACCAACCCAGGUUUGCAGACAGCCAGGGUCUGCCCGGGAACUGGCGGUGGAUGGGGUGGGUCUAUGUGGUUGUUUGAGGGGCUGGGGUGGGAGGUGGUCACUCUCCAGAUGUCUUAGCAGAAAACUGGGGGCUAGAGGAGACACAGCUGGGAAGGCGGGGCCAAGAAGGAGGCUGGCAGCCAUCCUCCACCACACCAAGCUCCACCAGAGGCUUGGGUCAUGCCAGGGACUUGGGUCGGACAUGUGAGGCUGCACAAGCCACUUAGCAUCCUUGGCUGUGUUUGUGGAUGGAGCUGCUCGUCAGCCUACCCUGCCCUGAAGGUGCCCUUCCAGAAACAGCUCCAGCAUCUCCUCUACCAGGAAGCCUCCCUGAUGGCUGAGAGUCCUCUGCUGCCUCCAAGGGCCCCCUUCACAUUCUACUGCUUGGACUGCCUGCUAUGGUCCUGUCUCUCUAGAAAGUCUAGAAACUUCUGAGGAGCAGGACUAUGUCGCACUCAUGUUGUAACCCCAGGAACUAACCCAAAGUCAGGUACACAAUAGGUAUUGAAUAAAUGCUGGACAGACGGGUGAAUGAACGAUAGGAUCAUGACAGUGCUUCAAGCCCUUGGAAGCACAGCUGUUAUGGAGAAGUUUACUGCACAGUGGUAGACGGUGGCACGGCCCGAGUGCCCCACUGCCUAUACUCAACCCUAGCUCUGCCACCUCCUGGCCACGUGAUGUGAAGCAGGUUACUCGGUGCCUCACUUUGCUCAUCUAUAAAAUGAAGAUAUUAAUGGCAUCCUGCCUGUGGAGGUGUUGUCAGGUGAAAUUAGGUGACAGGUAUAAAUGUGGAGCACCUGGCACACAGCCGGUGGCCCCUAAAAAUCUGCUCGUGUUAUUCCACAGGUCCCAAGAUGCUGCGAUUCUCUGCCGUGAUCCCAGAAAUACUAGGGAGAAGAGUGGUCUUCCCAUGGCGCGGAUGAGGAGACUAAGGCCUGGAAUGUAUGUGGUACAGAGGUUGAGACCACGUCAGCCUGCGCCGUCUUCAUCAGGCCCUCUGACACAACAUUAAGGGCAUGGCAAGGAGUCAGUUGCUCCGUGACCCUAAACCUCAUCCCUCUGGAGGCUUCAUCUCUGCUCUGGCUAAGAAAUGCUCUGACCUUGGUAAGGAAGGGGGGAUGGAAUCCCAGCCACCUUGCCCUUGACCCCUAUGAGUGGCCAAGUCGUAGCCAGGGUGGGCCUUUGGCCAUGGGGGCAGUGCUCUCAAGCCUCUGGCUGCCCUGGGGCCUGGUGUCUAGGGCCUCACAGCUGCUAGGAGUUUGAGCCUUUGCUCAGACCCACACCAUCAGCUAAGGAAAGCACCCACAAAGGCCAAGCUUCCA